GUUUAUAUAGUUUAAUAAAAAACUUUGCAUUUUCAUUGCAAAAUUAAAACUAGAUUUUUAUAAAUA
rnacentral:tRNA from 1 species